rnacentral:rRNA from 1 species
GACGAACGCUGGCGGCGUGCUUAACACAUGCAAGUCGAACGGAAAGGCCCUGCUUUUGUGGGGUGCUCGAGUGGCGAACGGGUGAGUAACACGUGAGUAACCUGCCCUUGACUUUGGGAUAACUUCAGGAAACUGGGGCUAAUACCGGAUAGGAGCUCCUGCUGCAUGGUGGGGGUUGGAAAGUUUCGGCGGUUGGGGAUGGACUCGCGGCUUAUCAGCUUGUUGGUGGGGUAGUGGCUUACCAAGGCUUUGACGGGUAGCCGGCCUGAGAGGGUUACCGGCCACAUUGGGACUGAGAUACGGCCCAGACUCCUACGGGAGGCAGCGGUGGGGAAUAUUGCAGAAUGGGCGGAAGCCUGAUGCAGCAACGCCGCGUGCGGGAUGACGGCCUUCGGGUUGUAAACCGCUUUCGCCUGUGACGAAGAGUGAGUGACGGUAAUGGGUAAAGAAGCACCGGCUAACUACGUG